rnacentral:lncRNA from 1 species
UUCCGCCUGAAAAUCUUUUAUUUGUAUUUACCAGCAAGAUUUUAUAUUAUUUUAUUUUUCCGUUCCUACAAAAAAUCUUAUAUUUGUAUUUCCACGGUCAAAACUUUUUUACAGGAAUCCUCAGGUUUUUAUCUUUCCUGUAUAAGGUCUAGUCCGUUUGGUAUCAUGUGAGCAUUUGACAUGAAUACUUGCAUUUAGAGUUUCAAAGCAUUUGUUUGGAAAUCGAUGUUAAAAGCUUUGAAAAGCUUGAUAUGAGGAACGUUACUCUGUGUCUUAAUACUUCAAG